CAGCAGCCGCGGGAAUACGAAGGGUGCAAGCGUUACUCGGAAUUACUGGGCGUAAAGCGUGCGUAGGUGGUGGUUUAAGUCCGUUGUGAAAGCCCUGGGCUCAACCUGGGAAUUGCAGUGGAUACUGGGUCACUAGAGUGUGGGAGAGGAUAGUGGAAUUUCCGGUGUAGCAGUGAAAUGCGUAGAGAUCGGAAGGAACAUCUGUGGCGAAGGCGACUAUCUGGGCCAACACUGACACUGAGGCACGAAAGCGUGGGGAGCAAACAGGAUUAGAUACCCCGGUAGUCCCUGUCUCUUAUAC
rnacentral:rRNA from 1 species